rfam:Tolypothrix bouteillei VB521301 scaffold_4, whole genome shotgun sequence.
GGGGAUGUAGCUCAGUUGGUCAAGAGUGCCUGUCUGUCGAACAGGAAGUCGCGAGUAUCUCCUYCGGAGACGCUWCGCGAACRARUCUCGUCAUCCCCG